GACGAACGCUGGCGGCGUGCUUAACACAUGCAAGUCGAGCGAUGAAGCUGGAGCUUGCUCCGGUGGAUUAGUGGCGAACGGGUGAGUAACACGUGAGAAAUCUGCCCUCCACUCUGGGAUAACUGCGGGAAACUGUAGCUAAUACCGGAUACUUUCCCUGGUGGGCAUCCACUAGGGAAGAAAGAAUUUCGGUGAAGGAUGAUCUCGCGGCCUAUCAGCUAGUUGGUGAGGUAAUGGCUCACCAAGGCGACGACGGGUAGCCGGCCUGAGAGGAGGACCGGCCACACUGAGACUGAGACACGGCCCAGACUCCUACGGGAGGCAGCAGUGGGGAAUAUUGCACAAUGGGCGAAAGCCCGAUGCAGCAACGCCGCGUGAGGGAUGAAGGCCUUCGGGUUGUAAACCUCUUUUAGCAGGGAAGAAGCGAAAGUGACGGUACCUGCAGAAAAAGCACCGGCUAACUACGUGCCAGCCGCCGCCGUAA
rnacentral:rRNA from 1 species